AUGUGGUAAAACUUAAUAAAACCUGAUCUUUUAGGAUUACAUGCAGUGGAGGUGUUGUGGGGGUGGGAAUGUCGAUGUCAUAAUUUAACUGGACAGCCUUUGAUUUGGAAACUUCUUGGUUUUUCUGUCUACAUGAACUAUUUAACCUUCUUUCCAGUUUUGUUUAGGUUGUGGUUACUUCUCUCUGUUAGUUCUGACAGCUGUCUCACUUAAAGAAAAAUUUAGCUGUGAAAAUACAAGGCCCAGUUCUGCAUUCAUUACACACCCAAAAUUUGAAUUUCAUUAACUCUGGAUUUCUUGGGUGUUUCAUGGUAUGCAAGACUGCACUCUGUACGUGUGCAGUGACCAAGGAGUCCAUCACAGUUGAUACUUUUUUUUGCACCGAUUUGACCUGCACUUUGUGUAGAUUAAAAAGUGUAUGCUGAAGGAGUCUGGUUAAGCAAGAAGCAGCAGCUGUGACCUACAGACUAUUGUCUUUCUUUCUUCUUGUUCUGUUUGCUGUUAAUAUUGGCAUAAUCAGUAAAAGGAUUGUUUCUGUUGAUUUU